rnacentral:rRNA from 1 species
UGAGUGGCGGACGGGUGAGUAACGCGUGGGUAACCUGCCUCAUACAGGGGGAUAACAGUUAGAAAUGACUGCUAAUACCGCAUAAGACCACAGCACCGCAUGGUGCAGGGGUAAAAACUCCGGUGGUAUGAGGUGGACCCGCGUCUGAUUAGGUAGUUGGUGGGGUAACGGCCUACCAAGCCGACGAUCAGUAGCCGACCUGAGAGGGUGACCGGCCACAUUGGGACUGAGACACGGCCCAA